UACGUAGGGUGCAAGCGUUGUCCGGAAUUAUUUGGGCGUAAAGAGCUCGUAGGCGGUCUGUCGCGUCGGCUGUGAAAACCCGGGGCUCAACCCCGGGCCUGCAGUCGAUACGGGCAGACUAGAGUGCGGUAGGGGAGACUGGAAUUCCUGGUGUAGCGGUGAAAUGCGCAGAUAUCAGGAGGAACACCGGUGGCGAAGGCGGGUCUCUGGGCCGUAACUGACGCUGAGGAGCGAAAGCGUGGGGAGCGAACAGG
rnacentral:rRNA from 1 species